AUUUGACUAAAAAACAUUAAAUUAACUUUGUUAAUAUUAUUUUUUGUAUGUUAUAAAUGAUUAACAGAAAGUUUAAAGAAAGUUGGAUUUUCAGACGAUUUUGGAUUUAUAAACUACUGUUUUGCAAAGCAAUUUGAGGAUAUUGAUCAAUUUAAAAAACAUGUAAAAAAAGAGUACGACAAUACUGUCCCAGCAACCAUCAAUAUACUGGUGGCAUUCUUCGAGCUCAGUACGAGUUAUUCGAAUGCUGACGAUGAAUUAUAUGACCCAAGAACGUUUUGUUGUAAGGAAAUUAAUAACAAAAAAAUUUUGAGUUGUGUUACCUGCAUUAAGAUAAAGGUGUCAUUAG